GUGAUUAGUGAAACAAAAAUGAAACCAAUGAGUAUAGUAGAUAAUAUUGCAUUACGUAUCUAUAUCCAUAUAUGUGUCUAUGUCUAUAUCUAUAUCUUUAUCUAUAAUCUCAAGUUGUGAAAGGAGCAGGGAAGAGGAUUUGGGUCAAGAGGAAAUUAAUCAACUUCAUAAGCUAAUUCGUAAAAAAUGAUCAACCAUGAACAUGUAAUUUUAUCACUCUUGCUAAAGCAAUGCCUACUCCAAGUCUGACUUUCUGUCUUAGAGUCUGUCUUCAAUUUUUGCAUUAAGGGCCACCUUUAUGCUAAUAGUCACAUUAUUGUAUUUCCACAUCAAUUAUAUCCUACAUGAUGGAAAUUUUAAUGAAAGAAUAGUAGUGGGUAUCUUGGCCUUGUUUUAAGGAAUUACAUUGAAUUCUUUAAGUGCUUGUGAGGAUGCAUAAAGACAUUAUAAAGAGCAGGUAAGAUAGAUUAUUUUUCAACUCUCCAUUAUUUAGUGGGAAUUUGUUCAAAGGAUCAAAUUCUGUACAUCCAAGACCAUUCUAACUUAUGCAGAAAAUAAUAGUUCUUUUUAAACAAUCUUAAUUUAAAUUUCCCAUAAUCAUGAUAAGCAUGCUGCUAAACUAAUGUUAUAAUCAGAGCCAUUUUAUAAUUAUUUCUGGGAAAGAGUAAUGUUGAGUAGUAACUGUUUAUCAUAACAUUGAAAAUGCAGUCAAUUUUUAGAGCUCAAAAGGCUUAUCCGCUUGGAGGGUGAUUUGCUUUAACGUAGGUACUAAACUGUUAAUUUCCCCCCAACACAGUGAUGGUAUAAAAUAAACUAAAUUCUUCAUCUACAGCAGAACAUAUGCACAAAAAUUAUUGCUUCAAAAAAUAUGAAGCCUUAAACCUAUUUCCCAAGAUGUGAUUCCAAAGUGCAGCAGGAGGACUGUUGUUUUGGAAUAUGAAAGGGAGAUAUAACUGAUGGUUUUGAUUAAAGAUCAUUUUGAAUUUUCUCCUUUUUAAUGGAGAUGAAGAAAGCACAUUUUGUAUAUGGAGUUUUGUUUUGACUCAGCCUGCCAUGAAGCUGUUUAAAUCGAGUCUUAUACACACAUUAUUUCGAUUGCCAAAAACAUCAAAACAGCAACAAAGAAAAAGCUAACCUUGAAUUUUCAGCUUGUAUUUCAGCCCUUGUAAACAAGUUACCAUGGAGAUGAUACCCAAGUGAGCUACAAGCUUGACUCAUAACAUCCACUGUGUGUGGACCAUCAGCACAAUAUAACAUAGCACUGGUGCUAUUCAUGACAAAACCUGCAUACAUCCUGUGGUACUUAAAAGUUCUUUUGCAAAAUGCCAGAUGAAAGCUUAAAAUCCGUCAAAACUGUCAUGGGCUUACUGAAAAGGCAGCAAAAUCAAGAGGGACAAAUGAAGAAUUGUGUGUUCAAAUAUUGUAAGUUUGGUAAUACGUUUAAAUAUUUUGAGCAUAGUGAUUUGAGGUUGUAUUUUCUGAGCCUUUUAAGGAAGCUGUAGGUCUAGAUGAAAAUUUGAUGAUAGCUUUGAAUUAUUUUCUUGGAGCAACUAGUUUCUAAGAAAGCUAAGUUAUGUCUGACAAAAAAACCCAAAAUAUACCCUAUCAUUCUGGACCAUGAUUUCUGUCUUCCAUUCUUUGUAGAGCCUGCAGUCAUAUGGAAAACCCUAAGAAAGUAAAGAACAAACACAGAUUUUAAUGCUUGAGGUAUUAUCUUCAAAAAAUUUCAAAACCAUGGAAAAUUGCAUCCUUGUUCCCAGGAAGUACUCAUACAUAUCCUUUUCUUCUCUAGAUUUUUUUUCUCUUCGAGUUCCCUUGUGAUAAUAUACAUAAAUUUUUGAGCAUAUAAAACUGUGUUAUGAAAGCUAUAUCUAUCAAAAGACAAAUGAGAUACCCAUCUGUGAGAUGAAACUUAGUAAUUCAAAAAGAUUCAGUGGUUCAGUGAUAUACUAUUAUGAUAUCCAAUCAAAAUGCUCAUUUCCUCACCACCUCAUGUCUUUUUUAAUCCUGAAAAUGUAGUUAAAUAUUUUAUUGAUCAUCUUGGAACAUCUAGAUCAGGGACUUUCUGAAACACCACCUGUUCUUCUUUUGUAGACUUUCCACUUAAGAAGAUACAUACUUUGUCAUCUGUAGUUGUUUAUUCUGGGAUGUAAUUGAUUAUACUAUUUUGAGUUUGAGGUUAGAGGCACACAGAACUCUGAAUAUAUCUCUACCAAUCAGUGAUCAGUGAAUGUUUAUUGAAUAGAAGUGCCCCUUAUAGUAAUUCAUGUAAAAUGUGGUUUGCAUCAGUGCACAGCCCCUGAUGCUUUUGCUUGACAUGAGAUUCAAAUGUGCAUUUGGGCAGGUACAGUGCUUUUAAAUCAUACCAAUCCAGGAUCCUGCUUUAUUUUCCCUAUUUUUUUUUCUUUUUAUAGCUGCUCCUGCAGUACAUGGAAGUUUCUGGUCUAGGGGUCAAAUCAGAACUGCAGUUGAAGACAACACCACAGCCACAGCCACAGGGGAUUUGAGCUGCAUCUGUGACCUAUCUUUCAGCUUGCGGCAAUGCUGACUCCAUAAUCCAGUGAGUGAGGCCAAGGAUCGAACCCACAUCCUACAUCGGAUUCUUACCCACUGAGCCACAAUAGGAACUCCCAGUUUACCACUCUUAAAGAAUUUAAUUUUUUUUGGCUGCAUCCGAAGAAAGUGAAAGUUCCCGGGUCAGAAAUCUAACCUGCGCCAUAGCUGUGGCAAUACCAGAUCCUCAACUCACUGUGCCACAUGGAAACUUCUUAAAUAAUUUCUUAAUGGCAUACAUCAGGGUUUUCUUCCUCAGCACUGUUGAUGUUUGGGGAUAGUAAAAGCUGUUCUAUGAAUUGUAGGGUAUUUAGCAGCAUCCCUGACUUUUACUUAACUAGAUGCCAGUAGCAUCCUCCACACUCAUGCUUCACUUGUGAAAACCUAAAAUGGUAGUUACCAAUACCCCCUUUUGAAAACAACUGCCAGAGGUAAAUAUUUAUUUUAUCUGUUGUCAUCACGCUGAUAUCACCAGGCUUUACAUCUAUAACUUAAAAAUGGCUUUCUCAUUUUUGACACCUAGAACUUUAAAAAAGAAAUAGAAUUCAUAUUGCCUCUAACAUACUUCUGCCGUUCAUAUCCAUUCUUUAUCCGUUUUCUUACUUUCCUGUAUAAUCUCUCCUCCAUUUUAAUGUCCCCAUGUACUUUUUUCUCUCGCUACAUUUCCUGCUCACUUUUCCUUUUCCUUCUUCGUAUGUUCUCAUUUAUAUUUUCUAAUAAGUCAUAUUUAAUAGCUCUUUAACAAUAUCGUUGUAGAUCUUAUGAUUUAGUCUUCAAAUUGGCAUUUUCAGAAAUAGUAAUAUCUGCCUCUACUAACAGAACAAAGAAUGACAGCCCUGCAACAUUGGGGAUGACAGAAGGAGAAGCUAGUGCAAACUAGACUCCUCUAAAAUACAAUAAAAUCAGUAUAUCUGAAAAGGAUUAAAAAUAAUAACUUUCAGGACAAUUUCAAAUACUGUUUCACACUUUUGAAUUAAAGAUAAUGGAGUGAGAAAUGGAGUAUCUACUAAAAAAUGUCCCAAAUUCUUCUGUUAGACUCACCACAUUUUCCUUUGCAAAAUAAAGUCUAUAAAGCAAGUGUUUUUAUAGGUUAUUGGUAGCAUUAAUGUGAAAAGUAUAAGCUUUAUUGCUAACCAUUUGAGAUGCAAGGGAGCUCUCUCUGCCUCAGAAAUUGGAUGACCAUGUGGGCUGACAGCUCCCUUGUGUUAUAAAAUAAUGCAAACAAUAUUUUUUCACCCCAAACAAAAUUGGUUAAAAUUACAUUUUUCCCAAGUCAUAUGGAAAUGCACUAAUUUGUAACUUUCUAAAGCCAACACAUUUAUGCUUCAGAGAUACAUAAUUUAGUAACAAACAGCAGACUGAAUUUUGAUCAGGUUUUAAAAAUGGGUACAAUAGCCUUCUCAGACUUCAAAUGAGCUCAGAAAACUCUCUUGGUAUUCUCUCCCUCAUGAAAUUGUAAGGGUAACAUUCCCUUGAAGUUUUUUAGCAAUAUGCAGUAGGAAAAAGUGAAAAGGUCUUGCAUAUUUGUAUAAUAUGUAAAGGCUCCAAUGAUUAAAACAGCCUUCAGACUUAAUAGCGAACGUUUUACUUUAAAGGUAAUAAUUCUCUAAGAACCUGGAGGAAAACCACAUUAUUAUGCUUUUCGUUCCUUGGAAUUGAUGGCUACAUUAUAUAAGUUAGGUAAGGUAAAGCAUGAUAACAAGCAGUUCUGAUAGAAAAAAAGAAUGGUAAUGGAAUUUUUUUCUUCUUUAUAUUUUUAAGAAGAAAAUACCUGUAUUUUAAUUCUCAGUAUUAAAAAAAAAACCCAGAAGACCAUCACUUAAUGUGCCAGUCCUCAAAGUAACAGAAAAAUAUAUACAUUGAUUUUUACAGCAAAGACAGCAAGGAUAGAGAAAUUUUUAUCUUUUUUCUAAAUUAAUUUAUGGGAUAUAAGCAUAUUAACAAAGCAGGAAUCACCUAUGCCACAAGAUAUUAUUAUUAAUAUGAUUAAAUAUUCAACAGAAACAACACAACUACACGAGAACAUCCCUCUCAGGUCUGAGCAUCUGUUUUCUUCUGUUCAUUUGCUCAAUAAAUUUUAUCUUUUCAUAUACUAAGUACUGAAUAAUUAAAGUACAUUUAGCAUAAUUUAUAGUUAUACUUUUUUUUCAACCAGUUAGUUUUUUAAAGUUAUAAUGACUCUUCUAGCUAUAGGUGGCAGGGUAGUGAAACAAUUGGUCAAAAAGAGUAAAUUCAUACUUUGUGCAACCAUAUGCUUUAUAUUCAGACUUCACAAGUCUCAGAGUUUUCUUUCUUUAAGAUGAAAAAAUACCAAAUUGAGAAAAUCCUAUAAAACAGUUUUUAUUUUCAUUAUUACUCAUGAGACUGCAGCAAGAUUUGUGUGGUUUCAUUUAAUUAUUCAUGGGUGAGGAGUGAUAGCAGGGAUCCCACGUGAAUUGUCUUCCAUCCUUCUUCCUUGAUUCUCAUUUUAAAUGUGUAAAACUAUUUAAUGACAGGAUUGCAAUAUCGGUUAACUGUGAUUUUGAUUCGGUAAUUGUGCAGAAAAUCUUAUUUGCAUAUCUUUUCAAAAUCUCCCAUUUGAAGUUCUGAGAUGCUGACGGAAGUUGACCAGACUCUACAUGGGAAAAAUAUGUCAUUCAUAAGGGCACGAUUGGCUUCAGAUUAUCUAUCCAUCACCCCUUGUAUAACCAGCACAGCAUAUUUAUUAGGAAUGUACGUACUUUAUAAUGAUUGCCAAAGGAAAACCAGAGAACUUAUCAUUUGACUUCAAUCAUCAGAUAUAAACAUCAAUAAAUAAUGCUUAUGUUUUUCUGUGCGUAGUAUAGACAUAAAACUACAUAUUUGAGACCUUCGGAAUGCAUAAUGCCUUUAUUGUUGACAGUUUAGAAAGCUUUCUGAACGAGAUCAUUUAUUUUCACAAUAAGUCUAUUAUUCAGGUCAGUGACAGAAACUGCCUCAAACAUGAGCUAAUCAAAAAAA
rnacentral:lncRNA from 1 species